AUUUUUUCGUUCGGCGCCCUCUGAUCCAAAUUCCCCAAACCUAAUCCUCCCACGCACUCCCUCCGCCGCCGGUGCACCCAAAUUCCCCAAACCUUAUCCUCUCACGUGCUGCCUCCACCGCCGGCCAAUAGCUAUCUACCAGCCCGCACGCCGUCACCGCGGCAGCGAGGUUGCGGCCCUAUCCCCAUCAUCCUCCUCCACCCCCACAGCUAGCCCCAAACACUUCUAAGUUCUAACCCUAGCUUGUGCCCGGUCACCUUCAUCCGCUAAGGCCUGGUGGUGGACGCCAUCGUUCAUCUCAGAUCCAGGGGUGAGAGAGACGUGGGUCACCUGGGAGACAGAGCACUCACACCCUCGCUCGUCACCCAGGCGCCGGACCGCCACCGCCACGCCAUGGGCCUCCUCCGAUCUGCAGUCGCCGGUUCGUUUGAAGGAGGAUCUGGACGUUGACUGCUGAUGCUUCCCCUCCCCGGGGAAGAUCCACGAUGACUUGUGGUAGUACUUCUACCCAGAAAUCAGCGCCUCGGCCGGGAGCUUGAGCUCGAGCAGAAUGUUAAGAACAGGGGCUCUAUCUGCUAAUGGGGUAGCCCGAAAUGCAGUCUAAGACCUGGCUACUGCUCGUUUGAUUUCUAGACAUGAGAGGAUAAGAACUUGAGAGGAAUAAGCUUGGUGCUAUGAUUGCAAAAAAAUACCUAUACUACAGGUGAGAGUUGAGACACGCCAUACACAGGCCCUGCAAGCGGGCAGAAAUAGACCUCUUCGUCAAUGACUUCUACAAGGAUGAUAUUGACCUAGAGGCUGGAGCUUUGCUACUCUUUCUGGCCAACAACAAGGUAUCCUUUACCUUUUCUCUCCCCACAUCCAAUUCUUCCUUGUUCCUAUGCAUCAUGCUUAUUUCUUGCUGUAUGCCAACACACUGCAAGUGUUUGUUAAAUUGUUAGUCUCAAUGCUCCAAUUCUAGCAGAAGGAUUUUUGGUAGGAAGACAUAGCAUCACUCAUAGUUGUAUAGAUUUACUGUUGUAUUUCUAUAUUUUUGCAAAAUUAGUCCUGUAAAACUUGCAAAUUAGUUCAGUCCUUAAGUGGUUUUACACUUGGGUUUUUAUUAACUUACAACUCUUUCCUCUAUAAUUUUGUGUUCUGUAGAACUUAGUUCAAUGUUUUCUGGAAUCAAGAUAAAAUACAUAUCUAGCAGUUUGUAUUUGUAGAGUCAUGCUUCUAUAAAUUUUAUAGUUGUAUUUUCUCCAUAAAUUUGCUUCGAUAGUUCUGUAGCUUCCAGAAUAGUUCAGAUGUUAAGUGGUUUUACUCUUAGACUUGUGUACGCCUGCAACUUUUUUUAUUUGUAAUUUUGGAACAUUUGUUGUGUAAAACUUCAGUUCAGUUUCUGGAAAACAAGAUUAAAUAUGUAUCUGUAAAACUUCUGUUCAGUUUCUGGAAACAGGAUUAAAUAUGUAACUUAUCAGUUUCUAAGUUGCAGUCAUGCUUCUACACAUUUUAUAGUUCUAUUUUCUGUGAAUUUGCUUUAGUAGUUCUGUAAAACAUUUAGAAUAGUUCACUUCUGGAAUGAAGAGUUAAUAUGUAUUAAGUGGUUUUGUAAUUUAUCUUUUUUGCUUUUAUAGAUUUCCAGCUGUAUUUUGUUUGUAAUUUUUCUUCAGUAGUUCUGGAAUGAAGUAAUUAAGCUGUUGUUCUAAUUUAUUCUCAGUAUUUUUCUAUUAAUUUACACUUAGACUGAAUUAAGUUGUAUCGGUUUGCAUAUAUAUACUGUUCUAUUGGGUAUAGAUUACUUUUUUCUAUCUAAUUUAUAGCCUUUUGUAUAUAUGAAUGUUUUCUAUAUAAUACUUAAGUGGUCUUCUAAAUUAUACAUUAUUUGCUUUCAUAUACUACUGAAGUGAGUUCUGGUUCCAGAUGUGAAGUGAAGAACAAGGGAUCGAACAGAUGUGAAAUUGAUGAAGUGAUUCUGUGAGGAACUUACCAGGUUUUCUCCAUGUUCAGGUGCAAAGGGGCCUCAAGUGCAAAGUUCAGGUUCAGUGCACUUAUUACGCUGUCACGUUUUUUACUGAAUCUUUUUUGGUUUGCAGACGCUUUUGGUCUUGUGAUGUAAAUUCACACAACAUUCAUUUUUUCCUAUUCUUAUUCAUGUUACUCUAUAAAUGUUAGAUAUCUAGGAAUGUUGCUUAUCCAAUUUUUCUGUUUAGAUGACAAUUGAGGCACUUUCUUCACUCUGUUCUAAAAGGUAUGCCCAAGUUAAUCUGUUGUAACUAAAAACUAGAAUAUGUAUAUGGACCCGACUUUUGUUAUUGGAGGUGAGAAUAUAUUUGUGUUGGGAAUUCCCUCUUAAAUAUUUUCAGAUUCAGAUUUGAUGUUGAGCUAGCUAAUCAGUAUUAGAAUCCCUAUUUUUAAUGUAGCUUUUUUAGCCAAUUAAGUAUAUGCCACUUCAAGAGGCAGAUUGUCGGCCUACAUUAUUUGCUAGAGAUUUUAUUUCUGCCACUAAUACCUCAUUUUCUAAUUCAUGUUUGGUGAAAUCUUAAGUUAAAUCUCUGUAGUACCUUGGUUUAUAGCAUCAGGAAUUAGUUAAGCCAUGGACACAUGACAUGGUUUUGUAGUCAUCUUCCUCAUUUUCUUUCUGCCCCUUCCUUUCAAUUAUGGCAACUGGUACUGCAUACAUAUGCCUCGUUCCUGUUGUAGCUGCUCCUCUUACCUAGUUCCCCAUAUGACACUUUCUGUAGUUCGCAUCAUAUUUGAAUUGUUACAUGUUCUGAUUGCAUGACUUAGGUGAUCUUUUUUCCAGUUUUGGUAUGGAUAGCCAAGCCCUUCUAUUAUUUCUAGAAACUAGUGUGUAAGCAGUCAACACUAUUUAUAUGUAAAUGUUUUAAGAUAUAAUAUCAUUUCUUGCAGCAUGUGGUUCAUUGAACAAGAAAAGGGACUGCUUCACAUAUGGAAUGUUUGCAAAUUUUAAAAAAAGAUCAAAGGAAAUUCAGUUUCUGAUAGUGUAUUAUAAUUGGGACUUGUUUAACUUUUGUAGGAAGCAAACAGAAGGACUGCACUCACAAGGGACCAUGAAGCCAGUGAUCCACGUCAACUGGAUACUUUAGCUUCCAUUUUGUACAACUAAGUCUUACUUUAGAACCUUUUGUGAACAUUAUGUAUGAUGUCUUGGUGGCUAUGUUUAGAACAAUUUGGGCCCUCUUUGAUUUGAAGGAUUUUCAAAACGUUGGAAUAGGAAAAAUACAGGAUUUGAGUGGCAUGUCCACUUGAAUCCUAUAGGAUUAGCCUAGAGUGUUUGAUGCUACAUGAAAAACAAAGGAAUUAAAAAAAGAGGUUGGAGUGGAUGCUAGAUUUCCAAUGAAAUGUAGUACACUUGAUUCCAUAGGAAAAAAUCCUAUAGGAUUCAAUCUUGUGAAUCAAACUACAAAUGUAGGAAAAAAUCCUAAGGAUUCUAACCCUCCAGAAGUCCCAUGGAAUUCCUUUGAAUCAAAGGAGCCCUUGAAGUAUAUGUAUCUGACAAUUUUUUAAUUAAUGGAAUAAUAAAUGUUUGAUGUA